UAUAGAAUAUAAACAUAACUAAAAUACCUUAAAGACCAAACAGCAUAUUAUUUAAGUGCAUUUGGAAGCACCACUUGAAUUGUUUUUUGCUUUGCUCUAAUAGUCUAAAGCAGAUUAUCUUCAAUGUGCAAGGGCAAGGGCAAUAACAAAAAAAACACCCCAAAACUUUGUUUUGCUUAAAAAAUGUGUGCAACACAGGUGAGCCUUAACAACUUGGGGGCAGGACCUAUUUCGACUUCGGGAUCCGGUGUCUUUAAGCUCAGGAUUUCGGGAUUGAUCCUUUCAGGAUCUGGGAAUCCUUUUUCUAAAUUCAGGAUGUCAGGUUUAAAUUUCUUUAAAUUCCUGACCUCAGGAGUUAAUAUUUUAAAGCCCAGGAUUUCUGGAUCAAGACCCCUCAUACCCUCCCUUGUCUGAGACAUUAUUGAGAAAAAACGAUGAUAUAAGUAAAUUUUAAUAAAAAACCUGGCAUGAAUUGUACAAAUGAGAGAGCUAAUGAUUCAUUUUUUCAUACAAUCAAUAUUUCUGUAGGGAUUAACUCUUCUGAAAAUAACUGAUCUGUACUGAUUUUCAAAUUCGUCCAAGACAUCGCUGAUAUAACCAAUAAUAUAAAGGAGUAGGUUCAGUAAGACCCCUUUUUGGCCCCAAAAUAUAGCAGUUUUACAAAAUUGUGAAAAUGCAAUAUUUAAUCUAUUUAUUGGAAAGAAGAAUGUGUCUGCUACAUGGAUAUGGGCUGUUUUUGACAAUACAAUGCACAUAUAUCGGGUAGUAGCACCAUCAAGUCAAUCUAAAUUACUGAAAUCUUCAAAAUUUUAGCAUUUUAGUUAAAUUUUAGACGGUUUCCGUCUAAAUGGGAAGUGGCCGCAUUCGUGUUCAUUCAUAAUAUUGAAAUGUAAGUUGUAUUUGUUGAUUAUACAUAAUAUAUAUAAAGGUUGAGG
rnacentral:lncRNA from 1 species